UACGAAGGGGGGCUAGCGUUGUUCGGAAUUACUGGGCGUAAAGCGUGCGCAGGCGGUUCGUUAUGUCCGAUGUGAAAGCCCCGAGCUCAACUUGGGAAUGGCAUUGGAAACUGGCGGGCUGGAGUGUGGCAGAGGGGGGUGGAAUUCCACGUGUAGCAGUGAAAUGCGUAGAGAUGUGGAGGAACACCGAUGGCGAAGGCAGCCCCCUGGGCCAACACGUGACGCCUCAGGCACGAAAGCGUGGGGAGCAAACAGG
rnacentral:rRNA from 1 species